UACGUAGGGUGCGAGCGUUAAUCGGAAUUACCGGGCGUAAAGCGUGCGCAGGCGGUGAUGUAAGACAGGUGUGAAAUCCCCGGGCUUAACCUGGGAACUGCAUUUGUGACUGCAUCGCUGGAGUGCGGCAGAGGGGGAUGGAAUUCCGCGUGUAGCAGUGAAAUGCGUAGAUAUGCGGAGGAACACCGAUGGCGAAGGCAAUCCCCUGGGCCUGCACUGACGCUCAUGCACGAAAGCGUGGGGAGCAAACAGG
rnacentral:rRNA from 1 species